rnacentral:rRNA from 1 species
GACGAACGCUGGCGGCGUGCUUAACACAUGCAAGUCGAACGGAAAGGCCCGGCUUUCGUGGUGUGCUCGAGUGGCGAACGGGUGGGAAACACGUGAGUAACCUGCCUUUGACUUUGGGAUAACUUCAGGAAACUGGGGCUAAUACCGGAUAGGAGCUCCUGCUGCAUGGUGGGGGUUGGAAAGUUUGGGCGGUUGGGGUUGGAGUCGGGGCUUAUCUGGCUGUUGGUGGGGUGGUGGGUUAGCAAGGCGUUGACGGAUAGCCGGCCUGAGAGGGUGACCGGCGACAUUGGGACUGAGAUACGGCCCAGACUCCUACGGGAGGAAGGAGUGGGGAGUAGUGCACUAUGGGCGGAAGCCUGAUGCAGCGACGCCGCGUGCGGGAUGACGGCCUUCGGGUUGUAGACCGCUUUCGCCUGUGACGAAGCGUGGGUGACGGUAAUGGGUGAAGAAGCACCGGCUAACUACGUG